rnacentral:rRNA from 1 species
UACGUAGGGGGCAAGCGUUGUUCGGAAUUACUGGGCGUAAAGGGCGCGUAGGCGGCGUAACAAGUCACUUGUGAAAUCUCCGGGCUUAACUCGGAAAGGUCAACUGAUACUGUGCGACUAGAGUGCAGAAGGGGCAACUGGAAUUCUCGGUGUAGCGGUGAAAUGCGCAGAUAUCAGGAGGAACACCGAUGGCGAAGGCAGGUCUCUGGGCCAUAACUGACGCUGAGAAGCGAAAGCAUGGGGAGCGAACAGG